rnacentral:tRNA from 1 species
CUAUAGAUAAGCUAAAAAAGACAAAGCUUUCAGGCUCAUGACCUGAAUAUAGAAAUUAAAAUUUUCUUCUAUAUA